rnacentral:rRNA from 1 species
CCUACGGGGGGCAGCAGUAGGGAAUCUUCCACAAUGGGCGAAAGCCUGAUGGAGCAACGCCGCGUGGGUGAAGAAGGUCUUCGGAUCGUAAAACCCUGUUGUUAGAGAAGAAAGUGCGUGAGAGUAACUGUUCACGUUUCGACGGUAUCUAACCAGAAAGCCACGGCUAACUACGUGCCAGCAGCCGCGGUAAUACGUAGGUGGCAAGCUUUAUCCGGAUUUAUUGGGCGUAAAGGGAACGCAGGGGGUCUUUUAAGUCUGAUGUGAAAGGCUUCGGCUUAACCGGAGUAGUGCAUUGGAAACUGGGAGACUUGAGUGCAGAAGAGGAGGGUGGAACUCCAGGUGUAGCGGUGAAAUGCGUAGAUAUAUGGAAGAACACCAGUGGCGAAAGCGGCUCUCUGGUCUGUAACUGACGCUGAGGUUCGAAAGCGUGGGUAGCAAACAGGAUUAGAUACCCCGGUAGUC